UUCGGCAGUCUUUCCAGUUUGAGCGCCGAAUGUGCACGUUGUCCAUAAUAUUCAAAUUUUUCAGAUAAGCGACCGUCAGAAUUCGGUUAACGAAAGUGUUAAAUUCAUCAUGAACUUGAAAGAAAAACUUUUGUGAUAUUUGCGUUAAAUUGCUAGUGAUCAAGAGUCGAUCCACGUGGUUGGUGCAGGAGGACAGCAAAUGACUACUCUAGAGACAUCCCAUCAGAAAUGUUUCACUACCACAUUUCUAAACUGCACUUCAGAUUCCUGUGCAUCAUCUGGCCGUCAAGUCAUUUUUAAAGGGGGCGGUUGUGACUUCCGCAUUCGGCGCUGACAAAAUCUCUCGCUCAACACCACACACCAACGACCGGAGCCCUCCAGAAAGUCAUCCGUCACACACGGAAACAUUCACGUGGAAAAAUAAUUCCCCCUCCAGAAUAAAAAUCAAAUUGAUAUUGUCUUGUUGCCUUUCGGAUCCAUCUGUAGCUGCUAGUCAUCCGGAAUCCGUCGGCUCGGCGGAUGCGUUUACUUUGUGCUGGUUGACUAUUUUGGAGACCAAAUGGUCUUGAAUGGGUUCUGACGCUGCCGUGACCCUCAACCACAAUGAACCAGCCUCUCCUGAUCAGACGGUUGUUUACGAUGUCUUGGCUCCUGGUGGCUUUGGGAUUUCUCCUAGCGGCUUCAUCGGCCUCGGCCUCCAAUCGUGAAAAGCUGGCCGGAUCACACCAGCAACUUGGACGGAUGACUCACCAGCACCACCAACGCAACGGCACUUUGCGAAAUGGCGGCGUGAAACGGGCGGUGGCGGGGCCAACAGAGACGACGGACGUCAAAUCGACGUCGUCCGACGCCCUGUCCAAUUCGCCUCCGUUCGUGGUGGCCGAAGCGGAGCCGUCGCCACACAAGACGAUGAUCGCCGUCCAGACGUCGCUCAACGGCAACAUCUUCAUGCACUGCCCAGUGGACAUGACGGAAGACUUUCAGGUCUCCUGGGUGCGGUUACCCGACUGGCGAAUCGUGGCUUCGGGGCGGAACAUUUAUAACAAGGACGAACGAUUCCGGGUCCUGCACGUCGAAGGCACCGACGAGUGGACGCUGCAGAUCAAGUACGCUGCCCUGGUCGACCAAGGACUCUACGAAUGUCAGGUUUCCACCGAAACGGGGAUCAUGAUUUACUAUUACAACGUCAGUGUCAUCGUGCCGGACACGUCCAUCGUCGGCGGAAGCGAGUACCACGUCGACAUGGGCAGCGCCAUCCAGCUGACUUGCAUCAUCAGAAAUAUUCCUCAGGAGCCGCAGUUUGUCUUCUGGUAUCACAACGACCGGAUGAUCAAUUAUGACUCAAUAACUGACAGCGCCAGUAGCAGCAGUUCGGGGUCGAAGACUUCCAGCGAGGCCGGCAGCAGCUCGUCCAGCGACCGAAACGGGAGCCGGACGAGAGCAAAGACCCGCCCGCGCGUGGAGGUGAUCACGGAAAUUGAAAACAAUUCAAUGACGGACGAUCGCGAGCAGCAGCCAGCCGAAGGUGCAGCAGCAGCAGCGGCAGAUCGAAGUGUCACUAGUCAGUUGACGAUACGCCACGUCACCGAUCUGGACUCUGGCAACUACACUUGCGCCCCGUCCAACGCCGAGCCGGCCAGCACCAUGGUCUACGUCUCCGAAGGAGACGACGCCGCCGCCGCCAUUCAAGUCAGCGUCGGAGAGACGACAAAUGUCAGUGACGUCGUGCCAGCCAAUUCGGCCGUUUCGGCCGCUUCGUCGCCCAUUUCCACAGCAACUGCGGCCGCCUGUACGACGAGUCGAACGUCGCCGUUUGCGCUCCUAUUCCUUUCAUCCUGCCUCCUGGCAUUGGCCAACCGUCAAGUCGACCCAAGGUGAUUUGUCUUUUCUCACGACCGUGGAGAACAGACAGCAAAAAAAUAAAAACACAAAAUGUUUUUCACUCGAAAAUGAAAGGGAAAAAAACAAAAAAAAAUAAAAAUAACAGAUGGGCCUAUCGACUGAAUUUCGUAUCGUGUCAUCAUUUUACUAAUACCUGAUUUCGGUGUGUUUCAUUUUAACGAGAGGAGAAAGAGAACUACAUCCGUUGAAUGCCGAUGCUCCUCUUGAUUGAUUUCAAAGAUAUAUUUAUAAAUAAAAACAAACAAACAAACAGUAUACAUACUAACUACAUACAGUUUUACAAUGGCUAAAUAGUCACUUGAUUCCUGUGGUAUAUACGUGUAAAGUAUUAUUGCGAUGUCAAACAUUAUUGAUAUUUAUUCGAUGUCAAUUUCAACCCUGCGCCCACAACAGUGAAAUUAUAAUCUCCGUGUUUUCAUAUUUGAGUUGGAUUCGAUUGAGACUCUCAGUCUGGCUGAUAUUAUAUUUUAAAUACGGUUGCCAUUGUCAUCCUCUUCGAUUCGUCUAGCUCCAUUUCCAAUCGAUAGGUUUUCCAAGUGGAAAAAUUGUUGAUUCUAUUGAUUGGCUGAGAUUGAUUGACGUGUGUAAAACCCCCCUUUCAUUUAAAAAAAAAAGCUGGUGUUAUAUCAUUUUAAUUUGCUUAUUAUGUCAGCCGAUUAUGUUGUCAAUAAUCCAAUAUGCGAAUUGCAGCUACUGUAAUAGUGUGUGACAUUUGCUUACCCAUCCCUUGAUAAAACUGACACGAGAUGGGUAGACGACAUUUCCUGCACUAUUUACAUCAGUACCUGUGGAAACUGCACGUAAAUGAGACGGUCAGAGAUGAUAAAACUGAUAUUCAUGUGUACAGAGUGAGCGAAAUUUAUUAGCUUUACGAUUAUAUAAAUGGUGAAGUGUGUGCUCGGCGUUCCCGGCAUCCCAGUUUGUCAUCUCCUUAAUUUUCCAAGUCCUGAUCAUACUCAAAAGCAUCUCAUCACACAGCGCGUGUAUAUCUUCUCGAAACUGUGUAUAUAUGCCGCGUGGUGAUUGUGUCAAGAGAGAGGAGCAACAGCCAAUACAUUCUGACAUUUAAAAGGAAAAAAAAAUCUGUUGACGACGACACAAAGAAAGCCAGCAAGCUUCUGAGAAAGACAACGGCUUGUCUUUAGUGACCCAGGCCGUUUCCAUUGUUAGAUUAAGACCCACCGAGAGCUCUGCAAGGGAGAUCCGACACGAUAACAACGACCACAUUGCUACUACUACCCUACUACAAGAUUGGGAAUUCACGCUCUACUCGAAAGUGCCAUGACCGCGUUUGAUUUAUCCGAAGUCCGAACAAGCUUCACUGGCAUCGCUGCUCUAGACGCGUCCGGGCACGUCUGAACAUGCCGAAUUUCGUACAGUCACGUCUGGUACCAAAUAGCGUGAGUUUUUCCCGACGUAUCAGCAGUGUUCCUCGAGCGCUCUGACUCACCACUUCAGCCACUAUCGUCCAGAAUCUCUUCCGGCCACUCCCUCCGAUGCUCUCAUAUUUGUCAAGAACGAUCACGGCACCUGAAUUCUCAUUUGCAGUGGAUUCUCCGUCUCAUAUUCUAACGCAGUCUGUUCUCUACUCUUCUGCACACAUUUAAAGGAAAAUCAGAAAAAAAUUGGACUAUUUUGUGAAAAUCUGACAUGAAUUUUUCAGGAUUUAUAUUUGAUUCUCACGGCAAUGUUGUUACAUACAUUGAUGGAGCUUGUCCGUUUAAUGGCUAUCCGCAUGCUAAGGGAGGGAUAGGUGUAUGGUUCGGCGACGAUCAUCCCUUAAACGUGAGCGAGCCAUUGGAUCGCGAAGGAUUUCCUCCCACCAACCAGGUGGCGGAAAUUAAAGCAGCAAUCAGAGCUUGUCAAAUCUUAAAAGAUUUUGGCGUUAGACGGGUGUCAUUUUACACAGAUUCGCAGUAUCUAAUUGAUUCGAUGACCAACUGGAUCAACAAAUGGAUGAAAAACGGCUGGUUAAAAUCUGACGGAACACCGCUAAAGCAUAAGCAUUAUUACCAGGAGCUGCUUAAUUUAAUAGAUAAUUUUAAAGUUUACUGGGUACACGUUCCAUCGGCGGAGAACAAAGCCGACCGUUUGGCAAAGAAAGGCGCCGAAAAAUAUUGAAGAAUAACUCUCUCUGAGCUGGCUCUUAUUUUGUUUCUCUCAAAUCUCAAAGAAUGCCAUGCUAGACAUGCAAAAAUUCAAUAAAUAAACUCAAUGGUUUACAUUUACAAGUUUAGUUUUUUUUUCUGUAUCCCUCCCCCUGUCUUACGUUCGCCAAUUUCUCAUUGGCCAAUUAUUUUUUUCAUUGGAUUAGUAUUGGCGAAAGCGUUUGUAUAAUAUAUGGUGUUUUCUUCUUUACUCGUUAAUAAAUUCAAAAAUAGUGUUUAGUU
rnacentral:misc_RNA from 1 species